rnacentral:rRNA from 1 species
GGCGGCGUGCCUAAUACAUGCAAGUCGAGCGAAUGGAUUAAGAGCUUGCUCUUAUGAAGUUAGCGGCGGACGGGUGAGUAACACGUGGGUAACCUGCCCAUAAGACUGGGAUAACUCCGGGAAACCGGGGCUAAUACCGGAUAACAUUUUGAACCGCAUGGUUCGAAAUUGAAAGGCGGCUUCGGCUGUCACUUAUGGAUGGACCCGCGUCGCAUUAGCUAGUUGGUGAGGUAACGGCUCACCAAGGCAACGAUGCGUAGCCGACCUGAGAGGGUGAUCGGCCACACUGGGACUGAGACACGGCCCAGACUCCUACGGGAGGCAGCAGUAGGGAAUCUUCCGCAAUGGACGAAAGUCUGACGGAGCAACGCCGCGUGAGUGAUGAAGGCUU